ACUACCCCUCCACCUUUUUUUUUUCAGCUCCCACCACAAGAUGUGAGGGAUGAAUGAAUGAGCAGGCCUGCAUUCCAGCUGUAACCCUGCCAGAAGCUGGAUGACCUUGGAUUCCAGAGCCCAUUUCCAGCCCUGGCCUCACUGUCUGUCCCCACCAAACAAUGAGCACCCUGAGGGAGGAGCCUGUGGCCAAUUCAUCAGUCUACUAUGCAGAAGAUUCUAGAGAAUAUCUGCGGGACAGGGGGACAGUGCGUGAGUCGCUGGAAGGAGCCACAUUAAGUAAGAAUACCACAGAUGCCCUGCCAUCAGCCCUUGGCAGGGAGGAACUAGGCACAUCUGGGGAGCCGAAGGCUUCUUGAGGACCUUGGGACUUUACCCCCCAUGCCCAUUUUACAGAUGGAUAACGGGAGGCUUAGGGAGCAGCAGGGCCCAGGGCCAAAUUCACCCUGCAAUUCCUUUUCCUGACUUGGAUCUCUCCCCGCCACAAAGGGCGACUGCCGGGCUGAAGGCUAGCUAGCGUCCUUCGUAGCUCCCUCCCUCCAGGGCAGCCCCCCC